UCUUCUUCUUCUUCAGGCUCUCUCUAAGUAGAUUUCGCUCUCUCUCCCACUUCUUCUUCUUCUUCUUCUUCGAUCGACUCAGACUUCGGAUACAUGGAGCUUAGCUGAAAUUAUCACAGCUUGAAAGUAGCAGCAGGUGAAGUGAAGCUUGGUUCCUUUUGUAUUAAGAAGAUUAAGGAAGACAGCUUAGAAGAAGUAUUAAGGAAGCUGGUGGUUUAAAAUGAUGAAAUGGAUUGGGAGAUUAGAAGAAUCCUAAAGACACAUUGGGUUUUCUGGAUUAUUAUUGUUUAAAAUUUCUGAUUUUCAAAAUUUGAAUAAUUGGAGACAUAUUUCAUGUUUAUCAUAAAUAGUUUAUGUAUAAAAUUACACAAUCUUUGAUGACUCUAUAAAAUUACACAAGGUCUAAAUUUCUGAUUA